rnacentral:lncRNA from 1 species
AGGUGGUUGGUUUCCAUGCCGACUGGUUGGUCUGGUAGAGCUGUUUGGACUCUCACUCUGAUGGCACCCAUUCACUGCAGUGGUUCCCUGAUGAGCAAGUGAUAGAAUGCAAAAUUUCUCCAAAUCUGUUCUGAUGAAGAAACAAGCUCACCUACAUCAUGGAUGACCCGAGUGUCUCCCAGAUCAACAGUUCUGCGCUAUGCAAAAAAUAUGAUGAGACAUCUUGGGCACUAAAGGAAAACUGGUGUUGGGAAGGAGCAGCCUUGCGCUGGACAAUUCCACUUCAUUCGGUGCGGUUUCCGCUUCCGGACAGAGAGGUCAUCGUUCAUUUUUAAGAGA